AACUUUUCCUUAGACGGUUUAAACCUGCCUUUCGUGUUAUUUCCCACGUAUCCCCAUCACGCGAUGGUCGACAGAGAAGUGGCACAAUAACACGGCGGAGCUGCAUGUGGGAGGAAGUUGAGACUCUCUCUCUUAGGGAGGAUUAAACACUCUGGAACAGAGAGGAGCUUCUAGUUGGCAACCUCCCCCUAAUCUUUGGUACAGAACUGAGUGAUAGCAUUAGAAACUUUCACCAUAGAUAACUUUUCCUCCAGCCCUCACAAGGCUGCUGGAUGUUUGUUUGGAAAAGCCAAUUCCUCAGACAGUCUCCUCGCUCCUGUGUGCUCCUGUGUGCUGCAAUGGGCUUUACGUUUCUCUGCUGAUUUAUUGAGCAUCUCCCACUCAGACUUUUCCUCUCUCCAGCUGAUAGCAGAGCACAGUAGGCCUUUAAAACAUCCAUCCCAUCUGGUGAUAGAGUGCCUGUUGUGCUGUCAGCCAUCCCAGAAGAUUACUAGCGAGGUUUCUGACGGGGAAGGAGGAAGCGCGGAUAAUCCGCAGAAGGGUCCGGCCAGGUCGUGUCAUCGCAUAUCACUAAAAUUUACACUCCUAAAUGUGGAUCAGGGGACUCUUUAAGGAGGAGCGGCGAAGUGAUACCUUGGUGGAAAAAUAAAAUAUGGAACAGAUGGCUAUCUUCUGUGUGCAGUAUUGAAACUGGAGCCAACUGGUGGAUACUUUCCAAACGUUCCGAAAAAGCAGGAGCCAUAGAGCCACUAUGGAGGGGUAAAGGGGCCACAUAUGGCUCCAGAGCCUCAGGUUGGUUGUACUGCAGCAACAGGACCACCCCCGAGCUGGAGAAAGGUGGCUUCAGCGGCUACUCCCCAACAGUCCUGUUCCAUUUUUCUAUGGACAUACAACGUAUCGGACCCCUGAAGAGAUGUGGCCGACAGAGCGAGUCAAAGACGAAGGAUCAGCCAGCAUCCCUCUCCUCCUCCUCCUCUUCUUCCCCUUCACCCCGGCCUCUCGCAGAUGAAAGGGGCCGCGCAAGGCCAGUGGACGGCCGGUGGGGUGUGUGCUAUGCGAGGGCCCCAGACCCAGACACAACACAACCCACGGCUCUGCAGGCCACCACAGCUGGGCUGGAAUGUUGACCCGCUUCAGAAUUUAAUGCCAGACAAGGGCCUGUGUGUGCGAAGUCCAAAAACGAGGGCGAUGUCAACGAGAAAACAAGCGUGCUUGGACUGUCGGAGCUUUUUGACAAAUUGCAGAAAAGCCUAGGGGCUGUUUCCUCCAUCUCAGCAGAACAAAUAAAAAAGGACGAACGUGGAA